GCAGUCGUGGCCGAGUGGUUAAGGCGAUGGACUCGAAAUCCAUUGGGGUUUCCCUGCACAGGUUCGAAUCCUGUCGGCUGCG
rnacentral:tRNA from 1 species